CCUGGUGGCUCAGUGGUAAAGAAUCUGCCUACAAUGCAGGAGACCCAGGUUCGAUUCCUGGGUCAGGA
rnacentral:tRNA from 1 species